rnacentral:rRNA from 1 species
AUUGAACGCUGGUGGCAUGCUUUACACAUGCAAGUCGAACGGUAACAGGUUAAGCUGACGAGUGGCGAACGGGUGAGUAAUGCAUCGGAACGUGCCCGAUCGUGGGGGAUAACGCAGCGAAAGCUGCGCUAAUACCGCAUACGAUCUGAGGAUGAGAGCGGGGGACCGUAAGGCCUCGCGCGAUCGGAGCGGCCGAUGUCAGAUUAGGUAGUUGGGGGGGUAAAGGCCCACCAAGCCGACGAUCUGUAGCUGGUCUGAGAGGACGACCAGCCACACUGGGACUGAGACACGGCCCAGACUCCUACGGGAGGCAGCAGUGGGGAAUUUUGGACAAUGGGCGAAAGCCUGAUCCAGCAAUGCCGCGUGCAGGAAGAAGGCCUUCGGGUUGUAAACUGCUUUUGUACGGAGCGAAAAGGUCCUUUCUAAUACAAGGGGCUCAUGACGGUACCGUAAGAAUAAGCACCGGCUAACUACGUGCCAGCCGCCGCCGUAA